rnacentral:rRNA from 1 species
UGGGGAAUUUUGGACAAUGGGCGAAGGCCUGAUCCAGCAAUGCCGCGUGUGUGAAGAAGGCCUUCGGGUUGUAAAGCACUUUUGUCCGGAAAGAAAUCCUUGGCUCUAAUACAGUCGGGGGAUGACGGUACCGGAAGAAUAAGCACCGGCUAACUACGUGCCAGCAGCCGCGGUAAUACGUAGGGUGCAAGCGUUAAUCGGAAUUACUGGGCGUAAAGCGUGCGCAGGCGGUUUGCUAAGACCGAUGUGAAAUCCCCGGGCUCAACCUGGGAACUGCAUUGGUGACUGGCAGGCUAGAGUAUGGCAGAGGGGGGUAGAAUUCCACGUGUAGCAGUGAAAUGCGUAGAGAUGUGGAGGAAUACCGAUGGCGAAGGCAGCCCCCUGGGCCAAAUACUGACGCUCAUGCACGAAAGCGUGGGGAGCAAACAGGAUUAGAUACCCUGGUGGUCCACGCCCUAAACGAUGUCAACUAGUUGUUGGGGAUUCAUUCCUUAGUAACGUAGCUAACGCGUGAAGUUGACCGCCUGGGGAGUACGGUCGCAAGAUUAAAACUCAAAUGAAUUGACGGGGUCAUAGCU